rnacentral:lncRNA from 1 species
AUGAGUUGGUGAUCUCCACUGCUGGUAGGCAUGGUAUGAAACUCUCGCUGAUGCCGAGCAGCUGCACAGAUCGUCUGACCUCUAUAGAUCAUCCACUCGAAGUCCUGAUCGGAUCUUCCUUCGCAAGAGUGCUAGCUCGCAUCGAAGGCUCUAGAUGGCUGAUCUAAGCUCCUUUUUUUGGAUCUCCCGAGCUUCUCUAGAUCAAAAGACAAAGCUUUACAAGAAGGUGGUGGUA